rnacentral:misc_RNA from 1 species
AAAAAGCUCCGAACUAGUGUCUUGAGCCCAAAAAUCUUUAAUUGGCAAGAACCACUACAAUCAGAAGUCUUUUCUGAUAAAUCCAUAUCCUCCAACAUGGCCAGAUCAGUUAGCUGAAAUAUUUCCUCAAUGAUAUAACGGGUCACCACCUCUUCAUGCUCUUGAAAUGCUAAAACAGAAUGUUGUGCCAGACAGCCCAAAGACUGCAAAACUGUUGGAAGCUGUUUCCCCAGAUGUAAAGAAUCCACAAGUGUCUUGCACAAAUCUAAGAAAAUGGACAGCUCUGAAGGGCCCACUAGUGCUGCAAUUGCAGAAACAGCCAAUUUAGACUGAGCACGACUGCCAUCCAAGCAAACCUUCUCCAAGAAUGGAUAUAUGUCACCAAGGU